GAUCCUGGCUCAGGAUGAACGCUGGCGGCGUGCCUAAUACAUGCAAGUCGAACGCUUUGUAAAGGAGCUUGCUUCUUUACGAGGAGUGGCGAACGGGUGAGUAAUACAUAAGCAAUCUGCCCAUCGGCCUGGGAUAACAGUUGGAAACGACUGCUAAUACCGGAUAGGUUAGUUUCUGGCAUCAGGAACUAAUUAAAGUUGGGAUACAACACGGAUGGAUGAGCUUAUGGCGUAUUAG
rnacentral:rRNA from 1 species